UGGAGGAAUACCCAAGUCUGGCUGAAGGGAUCGGUCUUGAAAACCGACAGGCGGGUAAUACCGCGCGGGGGUUCGAAUCCCUCUUCCUCCGU
rnacentral:tRNA from 7 species